rnacentral:rRNA from 1 species
GAUGAACGCUGGCGGCGUGCCUAAUACAUGCAAGUCGAGCGAACAGACGAGGAGCUUGCUCCUCUGACGUUAGCGGCGGACGGGUGAGUAACACGUGGAUAACCUACCUAUAAGACUGGGAUAACUUCGGGAAACCGGAGCUAAUACCGGAUAAUAUAUUGAACCGCAUGGUUCAAUAGUGAAAGACGGUUUUGCUGUCACUUAUAGAUGGAUCCGCGCCGCAUUGGCUAGUUGGUAAGGUAACGGCUUACCAAGGCAACGAUGCGUAGCCGACCUGAGAGGCGGAUCGCCCACACGGGAACUGAGCCCCGGCCCGGACCCCUAGGGGAGGCAGAAGUGGGGAUUCUUCGGCAAUGGGCAAAGGCCGGACGGAGCAACCCCGCGUGAGUGAUGAAGGUCUUCGGAUCGUAAAACUUUGUUUUUGGGAAAGAACAAAGUUGUAAGAAUAUAUCCGCUUCUUGGCGGUACCUAAUCAAAAAGCCCCGGCUAACUACGUG